CAGCAGCCGCGGUAAUACGUAGGUGGCAAGCGUUAUCCGGAAUUAUUGGGCGUAAAGCGCGCGUAGGCGGUUUUUUAAGUCUGAUGUGAAAGCCCACGGCUCAACCGUGGAGGGUCAUUGGAAACUGGAAAACUUGAGUGCAGAAGAGGAAAGUGGAAUUCCAUGUGUAGCGGUGAAAUGCGCAGAGAUAUGGAGGAACACCAGUGGCGAAGGCGACUUUCUGGUCUGUAACUGACGCUGAUGUGCGAAAGCGUGGGGAUCAAACAGGAUUAGAUACCCCCGUAGUCCCUGUCUCUUAUAC
rnacentral:rRNA from 1 species